rnacentral:rRNA from 2 species
GCAUAUCAAUAAGCGGAGGAAAA